rnacentral:rRNA from 1 species
UACAGAGGUCCCAAGCGUUGUUCGGAUUCAUUGGGCGUAAAGGGUGCGUAGGCGGCGCGGUAAGUCGGGUGUGAAAUCCCCGGGCUCAACCUGGGAAUUGCAUUCGAAACUGCGAGGCUAGGGUACGGAAGAGGGAAGCGGAAUUUCUGGUGUAGCGGUGAAAUGCGUAGAUAUCAGAAGGAACAUCAGUGGCGAAAGCGGCUUCCUGGUCCAGUACCGACGUUCAGGCACGAAAGCGUGGGGAGCAAACAGG